UACGGCCGCAUCACAUUGACACACCGGUUCUCGUACGAUCACAGAAGUUAAGCAACGUCGAGACAAGCCAGUACUUAGAUGGUUAAUCGCUGAGGAAUACAAUGUGUCGUAAG